UACGAAGGGGGCUAGCGUUGCUCGGAAUCACUGGGCGUAAAGCGCACGUAGGCGGGUCGUUAAGUCAGGGGUGAAAUCCUGGAGCUCAACCCCAGAACUGCCCUUGAUACUGGCGAUCUCGAGUUCGGGAGAGGUGAGUGGAACUGCGAGUGUAGAGGUGAAAUUCGUAGAUAUUCGCAAGAACACCAGUGGCGAAGGCGGCUCUCUGGGCCUUACCUGACGCUGAGGAGCGAAGGCGUGGGGAGCAAACAGG
rnacentral:rRNA from 1 species